rnacentral:rRNA from 1 species
GACGAACGCUGGCGGCGUGCUUAACACAUGCAAGUCGAACGGAAAGGCCCCUUUGGGGGUACUCGAGUGGCGAACGGGUGAGUAACACGUGAGUAACCUGCCCUUGACUUCGGGAUAACUUCAGGAAACUGGGGCUAAUACCGGAUAGGAAUCCUUGCUGCAUGGUGGGGGUUGGAAAGCUUCGGCGGGUUUGGAUGGACUCGCGGCUUAUCAGCUUGUUGGUGGGGUAGUGGCUUACCAAGGCUUUGACGGGUAGCCGGCCUGAGAGGGCGACCGGCCACAUUGGGACUGAGAUACGGCCCAGACUCCUACGGGAGGCAGCAGUGGGGAAUAUUGCACAAUGGGCGGAAGCCUGAUGCAGCAACGCCGCGGGCGGGAUGACGGCCUUCGGGUUGGAAACCGCUUUCAGCAGGGGCGAAGCUUGUGGUGACGGUACCUGCAGAAGAAGCACCGGCUAACUACGUG